UUUUUUUUUUUUAUCAUCAUCCGUAACAUCCAAGCCCUAGCCUCUCGCCUCUUCAAGAAAGUUCUACCAGGUGAUUGUCAUCCCUCAUCUGCGAGCAUCGAUCGGCAACGGAGACUCAACGGCCGACCAACAACACCACUGAUUUUUCAAGAACAAAUUCGUGCUUGAGUUCUUCUCCAACUAGUACUUCUAAGGUAUUCAACGUUCCUUUCAUUUUCUGUUCUUUUAUUGUAUGUAUGUCUUAUAUAUGGUUAAUUUUGAUUAUUUAAUUAUGUUUCAUGUUCGAAUUGAAGUAAAAGGUUCAUGCUUGCAAGGCUGUAUUGUUAAUUUGUUAUUCUAGAAUUUAUUUUACAAAUAAUGGCUUCAUCUGCUACUUUUAAAGCCUCUUUUUUUAGUUUUAAUUCAUGUUCAGGAUUUAUUCUGAUUUGGGUAAUAAUGAAAUUGCUUGAAAUUUAUAGACAACAUUUUCCUUUUUGUGACUCUGUUCCUUUUUUCCAUCCAUGCUUUAUAGCUAUUCAAGGUCGAAAGACACCUAUACUUGAAUUGAUUUACUCUAAAUCUGUGGUGAUGAGUAGUUUUAACAAAGAACUUUCCACAUUUGACAAUCAUUAUAUCUUCUUUUGGGAGUAAAUGAAAAUAAAAUCAAGGUUGUUUGCUUCUCAAAAUAUAACUAUGUGAGAUGGGUUUUGCUAUCUAUUAUGUAAUGUUGAUUUCUGCAGGAACUAGUGUUUCAUCACAUGUUCAUUUUGUCCAUAUAUAAAGGCAGUAUGGUUUAUAACAUAAUGAAAAACUUACUUUUGCAAUUUGACAGCUUAUAUAUAGUGAUUUUGAGACAAUUUGUUGGUUAAUAUAGCUAAACCUAGACCUUCAAUCAUCUAAAUAUUUAAUUCAUAUUAACAUCUAAAUUUUAAACUUACAAAUAAAACCAUGAAGAGUUUUAAAAGUAAGUGUGCAAAAUGAGUGAAUAAUUUACUAUUUCUUCUGAUUUUUGAAGGUGGAUAAUUUAUUCAUCCUUCUAUUCAAGUCGAAAUUGAAGUCUACAUUAAGAACAGAAGCCUAGAGGUUCUUUCAUCUUGAUGACAGUAUGUUAGCUCCAACUAUCCAUACCACCCAUGAUUGGGUCUAAUCUUUAUUUGAGUGGAUGCUUCACUAACAAGUGUAGAACUAAGUUAAAAAGGUUUGAAAUUAAACAGAUAAAAUAACAUAUACCAUCUUCAUCAAUCUUAUACUGGCAAUUUGGUAAAACAUGGAUAAAUUUCAGAUUUUCUUAUAUUUGAACAGUCAUUCUAAACUUGAAUGGUGAGGCAAGCACAUAACCAGACAGCAUCUUUAUUGUGUUUAGUUACUGUAAUAUAAAGAUUUUGUUCCUUAUAUUAUUUUACAGUAUUAUAUGUUCAAUGCUAGGUUAUUUUAUUCGGAUCUAAUAAGUUGUAGAAGUGUGUUAAUUGUUGUAUUGAGAAAUGUGAUAGAACGUUGUUUUGGUAUAUUAAAAAUGCGUUGGCCGAUCCUUAAGUUGAUGCCUCCUUACAAACUGAGUGUACAAACACUUAUCGUUAUUGCUUGUUGCACAUUACAUAAUUUUAUUCGUAACGAAACCCAUUUAGAUCGUCUUUUUGAUGAAUAUGGGGAUGAGAAUGCCAAUCUUCAAGAAGAAGAAGUGGAGUUAGGUGGUACUUCUCAGAGAGUAAAUGUUACAUAGGAGCUAAUUCAAGAGAUGAGUGAAACCCGUGAUGCAGUUGCAAAUGAGUUGUGGAACAACUAUCAUGAUAGAUGAAUCACUUCUAUUUGCUCAUUAUAAUAUUGUAACUUUUAUUAGGAUUAUUUUUCUAUUUUUCAACUUGGAUAUUGUAAUAUUGUCACUUUGGAUUAAUUUUCUAUUUGGAUAUUGCAAUAUUGUCAUUUUUAUUA